UGGACUGGCUCUGCCCUGACUUCCUGGCAGCACCCCCUUGAAUAGCCUGAGGGGGUGGAGCUGGGCCCUAGCCCAGCUAUGGGGAGAGCGCCUCUCACCCCACUGAGGUCUUUGUAUCAGAGUCAAGGCUUCCCUCGGUACACCAGCUUGGCCUCACCAGUGAUCAAGAAAACCCCCUUUCUGGGCACUUGCUGAAUAGAGCCUUGUUCUCUGCCGCCAGUGAGGGAGCCAUACGGCAAGGGCAGCCCCAAGGGGACUGGGCUGCUUUUAUCCCAAGAUGCCAGGAUGUCAGCCCCGGGUGCUGUACAAGCUCCCAGCUCAAUGGACUUCUCGGAAAGCGUCGAAGGGGGCCUGGAGUACAGCGGGAAGCAGGCUGUGUGCCCACCCCUGAUCAUUGUGUCUAUGCCAAGGGCAAAACCUCAAUGCCUCCCAGGACAAUCCCACUUCUGGUCUCAACUCAUACACAUAGUGCCUGGUGUUUCCUACUGAUGCCAGACUCUAAUUCAAGUGGUCAUGCGAUUCGAGUGUCACCUGCCGGCUUUGCUUGCACACCUGCCCCUGCCCAGUAGAGAUCAAGACUGGUUGGCUGACCCCAUCCCAUGGUGCUGCCCGGAGGAAGGGAAGUGAGGACCCCAGGACCACUAGAUGGCAGUGCUCAGCUGCCCAGACAGACUCACCUCUGCUGUGACGGUGCCCUCUUGAGAAGAAAGCAAUACUUUGGCUCCUCUGUGGCUGUGAAGUCUUGGGUGACCCAGGAACCGUCACCGAAUCCAGAUCUGUGAAAUGAGGACUUACCUUCCAAGAACAUUGUCAGUGAGAGACAUCCACAGCAGGCAUUGUUGUCAAACCAUAGCGUUCAUCUCAUAAUGCCUGCCGUGUGCGCCACUUACCGCAUGCCCGUGCUUCUGUGAUGGCUCAGCCAGGACGGGCAGGAACUUGAGUAAGGGCUGCCAAGUCCAUCCAACAGCACCUACUGGGAGUAUGUGAGAACCUUCUAAGGGAGGUCACGUGGCAGUGUGGCUAGGACCAAGGAACUGCACAACAUUCAUCCCCAACUGUCCUGGUCGCCUCUUCACAGAACUAUGGAAAGCCAGGCAUGGUGGCACUCUGUGAGUUCCAGAGUAGCCUGGUCUACAUAGCGAGUUCCAGGACAGACAACACUACAUAGAGAGACCCUGUCUCAAACAAACAAACACAAAAGAACUAUGGAAGAGAAGACAGCCAUGACUUACAUGCUACUUGGAACCAGGAUCCCUCAAGCACAGUUGAGAGCCACGGGGUCUUUCCAGGGAGAAUCUGGAGACAGUCUCAUCGCCCAUGCAAGUCAGAUGGAAGCUGCGUCUCAGCUGGCUGCCCCCCUGCUGCCCCCGCCAGCCCGACUGCCUAUGGCAUGCAGGACACCACACAGCAAGCUCUGGGCCGACCUCCUGUGAUUGAGGGCAGGAGCCACACGUGCUUAGCUCUAUCAGCCCAGAGUCUCUGUACAUUUUAUGGGUCACCCGAGAGCACACUUUGUACCACAGAGCCGCAAAUGUUUGCAGAGUGAAUGGCUGGCUGCUGAACAUCCUUGUCAAGAGUGACCUCUUCCACGGUCAGGCUGCCCCCAGCCUGGCAAACUCUGCCUCAUGCAAGGACCCCGUUGUGCAGAGCAUGCCCUCCUGGCCCUCGUUACUGGCUGCCUUGCCAUGUGCGGACUGCCUCUGCCCUUGAAGGGCGAUAGUGAUGAUCAGAAGAGGUAAUAUAUGUGAAGACCCCAGGAAAUGGACAAGUUACUCCAUCUGAAUCCAGUCAUCACUCAGCAAGGCCUCUUCAAGUGAAAGUACCGUGCCAACUACCAGGGGAUACAGAUGUGAAUCUGUGACGGCUUCGAGGGAGCCACAGAACACAGGGGAACAAACUCAUUAACACUAAUUGGAGAGGCGGGAACCCCAUGCCUGAGAAGAGAAAUGAUGUCUGUUCACUUCAAAAAGGAAGCAGUCCUGAGUUAUGUAAAAACCAGGAUGUAGGCUGGGUCCCAAAUACUUGCUGUCCAACUGUGGACAAGUUGGGCAGAGGUGUUUGAUUCUGUUUCUCUCCUCUGUCUCAUAGGGCCAGUGUAAGCUAAGGCACAGCCUGGCAGCACAGGGAAGCUCAUCCACCUGCUUUUCCUCACUCUCCUGAUAAGGGACAGAAAUGAGCAGGAGGGGUCCAGGCAUUCUUUGAACCUGGCAGCAUUAUUUACACACUAUUCACAAUGUGCUAAAUACCCUUAAAAAUGUUUGUUUUCAGGAGCAAGUUCAACACAAGCUCCUGUAAUUUUGUUUACACUAUUAAUUCACUCAGCCAACCAUGUCUUCAUGGGGAGAACAGAGAUAACCAUGUUGAACUGCUAUACAAUCCAGCGAGUGGAAAGGAAGGCCCCCAAGAGCUGGUGGAGGGAUGGGGAGAGGAGCAGGCUGCACUGGACUCUAGCUGGAACUCACUUGGAGCCUCAGCUCAGACCUGGGUCCAACCAAAAAGGCCUUCCUGACAGCAGAGUGACCCACCCUAAGGUGUGAUAGACAUCCAAGUGAGAUUCCUUUGAAACCCACUGGGAGCAAGGAUCCUGCAAGGAAGAAAAUAUCAUGUGUGUGCAUGUGUGAGGGUGGGUAACAUGUAUAUCAUACAGCAUGUGUGUGGUCAGAGGACAGCUAUGGAGUGGGUUCUGGGAUUGGACUGAGGCUGUCGUGCAGACCUGCAAAACAAGUGCUUUUACCUGCUGAGACAUCACCCAGGCCCACGGAGAGGAUCCGCACUGUACUGAGGAGCCAGGUUCAGGCUCCAGAACAGAAGGCUGCAGAUGGCCAGGAAGGUAUUGUUUCCUGGACUCCUAAGUUCCUUGAACCCAGGACUGCAAGCAUGCCAGGCAAGUAAGCACCUACCACUGAGCCACAGUCCUAGAAGUUUCCUGUUGAUUUUUUUCACAUUAUGUAGGAACAGUUGCCCUCUAACUCACGAUCCUCCUGCUUCAGCUUCCCAAGUGCUGGGAUUACAGGCGUGUGUCACCAAGCUCAGCUUGAGAUCUUUUUUUU